rnacentral:rRNA from 1 species
AGGGUUCGAUUCUGGCUCAGAAUGAACGUUGGCGGCGUGGAUUAGGCAUGCGAGUCGAGCAGCUAAGGUUUUUAUCUUCGGAUUUGAACCCUAGAGCGGCGAAAGGGAUAGGAACGUAUAGAUACAUGCCUCUUAGCUCAGGAUAGCGUCUGGAAACGGGCGAUAAUACUGAAUGAGGUCUCCGGACCAAAGGUGUGAUUCCGCUAGGAGAUUGGUCUAUAUCCUAUUAGCUAGUUGGUAAGGUAACGGCUUACCAAGGCGAUGAUGGGUACGGGGCGUGAGAGCGUGACCCCGAUCACUGGGACUGAGACACUGCCCAGACGCCUACGGGCGGCUGCAGUCGAGAAUCUUCGGCAAUGGACGAAAGUCUGACCGAGCGACGCCGCCGUGUAUGAUGAAGGUCUUCGGAUUGUAAAGUACUGUCGAUAGGGCGGAAAUUUACGGUGGCAAUCCAUCGUAUUUGACCUAUCUUUUGAGGAAGGACGGGCUAAGUUCGUGCCAGCCGCCGC